rnacentral:rRNA from 1 species
AUGGACCUACGGGGGGCAGCAGUGGGGAAUAUUGCACAACGGGCGCAAGCCUGACCCAGCAACGCCGCGUGAAGGAAGAAGGCUUUCGGGUUGUAAACUUCUUUUAUGAGGGACGAAUAAAGUGACGGUACCUCAUGAAUAAGCCACGGCUAACUACGUGCCAGCAGCCGCGGUAAUACGUAGGUGGCGAGCGUUAUCCGGAAUGAUUGGGCGUAAAGGGUGCGUAGGCGGCCUGCUAAGUCUGGAGUGAAAGGUACCGGCUCAACCGGUACAGGCUCUGGAAACUGGCGGGCUAGAGAGCAGGA